rnacentral:hammerhead_ribozyme from 1 species
AUCCAGAUGACCAGUCCUAAAUAAAACGGAACGCGCGUCCUAUAU